AUACUUCAGUAACUCCCAAGGGGAGAGAAGUUAUUCAUCUAUGAAAAAAUUUUGAAACUCCUCCCAACAUGUUCUUAAGUUUCGAUUUCCUCAGUCAGGACAAAUGAAGUCUCUUUCCUGUAAACAACUUAGUUUCAGUAUGAAAAACUAGUGCAAAGUUAUGCUUUUUUUUUUUUUAAACAGAUACCAGUAGCUGAAAGGGGUGCCAUUAUCUGAACUUUUUAUCCAGCAGGCUUACAUAUGGGUUAGUAGAAACCAAAGUCUCUUGAAGGAGGCUGAAAUAUAAAAGGAGAAAGUGAGGCAGCCAGUGAAUUCUCCCUCCUUUCCUGUUCACACAGUGGUAGUGGCAGGAGAAGUUCUUAGAAGAGGAAUCUGUGGCUACCAGUACUUGACUGCAUCUCCUUAAUGGAGGCCGAUCAGCUAUCAAGUUCAUUGUGGCUUCAAUAGUAAGUGACACAUUCUCACAGUAAUUAGCAGCUGACAAACCUGGAGCCUAUCAGGGGUAUAAAAUCAUUGUGAAUAUGUCAAUUCUUCCUAGAGUAUUUAGAAAUGAAUUGUGCACUAGUGGCCCUAUUGAUUAUGACUUGCUGGUAGUUGCUGUUGAGUCAAUUCCAACUCAUGGCAACCCCAUGUGUGCAGAGUAGAGCUGCUCCACAGGGUUCAAUGUUGUGACUUUUCAGAAGCAGAUUACCAGGCCUUACUGUUUGCACUGCCCAGGGGCUCCUUCUUGAGUAUGACUAAACAACCCUAUAGGACAGAGUAGAACUGCCCCAUAGGGUUUCCAAGGAGCAUGUGGUGGAUUCAAACUGCUGACCUUUUGGUUAGCAGCGGUAGCUCUUAGCCUCUAUGCCACCAGGGUUUUCUGACUGUGACUAGGAUCCAUUAUUCUGUGAUUCAACUUCAUGAUUACUCUUGCCUUUCUGAAUUAUUCCCCAAAACAAGUGAAUAACAGGAUCACAUCGAAGCCUUGCAAAUUCUGCAAGAGCAUUGAGCCUCUGGAAGGGUUGAGGACCUGAUUAACAUUUUUUCUGCAAUGCUUUUUUUUUCCGUUGAGGAUAAUGGAGUCACUUUGGAGAACUUAAGGAGCCCCAGUGGCACAGUCGUUAAGCACAGUUCGAACCCACCAGGCACUCCACUCCACAGGAGAAAGAUGUGGCAGUCAGUUUCAGAAAUGAAAUGAUUACAGCCUUGGAAACCCUAUGGGGAAGUUCUACUCUGUUCUAUAGGAUCACUAUAAGUUGAAACUGACUCAAUGAUAAUGGGUUAUUUGGCUGGAGAACUUAAGUCCUGAGAUGUCAAAAAUGUAGCACUAAUCAACAGAUGGUAUUGUGCUAACCCUCUAGCUGAUCUGCAAGAGGGAUGAGGUCAUGACUGGAAAGAGGUUCUUAAAGUCCAGUUAAAUUUGGUAGAUGGCCUGAGGUUGUCUGAAGGGAAAAAUAAAGCUAAUUGGGUUAAUCUAAACUACUAUCAUGGAGGACAGAGUUGAAGUUUGGAUUUGGAAACUAUCUGAAUAAGCCAGAGGAAGUAGGCCAUAGUGAAGCAAGCAGGAUCUUGAGUGACUGCCAGAGCACCUAUGGUGUUCAUGAUUCACUUUUAUAGACCUUACUUUCCUGCCUAUGUGAAUGCAUUGAGCUGGUAUUAAGGUAAAGGGUUGAGAGAGACAUUAGGGAAAAUCAAUAGGGCCUCAACCCAGAGGUUAGGGGGUAGAUGAAACAAGGCAGGAAUGACCAUGAUUCAGAACAUUUUCUCGUUUAUUUUCUAGAAACUAAGUUACGUAGAGUGCUACCCUGUGUUGGUACUCCAGCAGACAAACACAAAUUAUCAGUCCAAAUGGAGUGAAGUCAGAGCAAUGCUCCCAAAAGUAUACUGCUAAGCUGGAAUUUUAGUAGAUGGACCAAAUAAAUGAGAAACAGGGGAGGGGGAAGGAGGCAGUCAUCUAGACUUUCAGGUAAAAAACUUUAAGGUAGUGACCAAUUAAUUGGUGAUUUGGGCCAUCAUACAGAUAAAAAGAAUUUAUUUAGCCCUCAACCCUUCUAGAGGCUCUUCCAUAAUUUGCAAGACUUUAUUAUUGUAAUGAUAUGAGCUCAUUACUUAUAAGUAGGAAAUGAGAGAAUGCCUAAUGUGGGAAAAAGAUGUCUGGAUAUAUCUGCGUGACCUGUUACCAUCCUAAGUACUAUUCCACUAGGACACCGGAAGUCCUCAGGAAAAGUCUCAAUCAGCUUGAUGUCCUAACUUAUCAGUCUAGAAGAUGCCAGAAGUAUAUUAAAGAGAAAAGCAAACAACAGAACAAUUUCACAAAAAAAAUAGCAAUCAAACCCUUUAACGUCGUAUUAGGCCCAGGGCUAAAAGAUAUAGUGGUAAGGUCUGUAGACUCAGAAAAAAAAUGGAACGGGAAACCGUUUGAGGUAUAGUCAAAUUAAAAACCCUUCUCUACUUUCUUAUUCCUAAGGGCCAGAACAAAACCUGUUAGUGCGUGAGCCUGACCUGGCCAGGUUGAUUUACUCAUUUCUAGCCAUCAGCCACCUUCACAAUGGGCCUCCUUUUACCUUCUCAGGAAAUUCAGUUUCUUUUUCAGGAGGAAAUGGAUUCCAGCCCUUUAGCUGCCAUGAUCUGACCUAUACAUCCUCCCUGCAGUGUGACAGCCAUGCUCUGCUUUGAAACCUACUCACUGGCUUACAGUCAGGAAACCCUCCAAAGACAGAGCUCUGGGCAACUGUGGAGCUCACCCUGUGAAUUUUCAUUUCAUCAGGGAAUCUAGCAUUUUUCCCUAUUGUUCAAUACCUAAAAGCUAUUGCCUCAUGUUUUUUAUUCAAUUGUGUCGUUGCUUAUCGUGGAUAGGCUAGUCUGGUACCAGUUACUCUGUCAUUACAAGGAGCAAAAGUCAAUAUACUUUAAAUGUUGAGUUUAGAUAUUUAAUGUCCUUAGGAGACCUGUACUAUCAUUUAGCGUAGAUUCAUUAUUCUUUCAUUUUUGCUUUACGCAUGCUUCCACCUGAUGGAAAUUUGGUCUGGAAGCUGUAUAUUAAGAAGAGGAACAGCAGAAAAUACAGUUGGAAAGCUGAUAAGAAGUUUUUUGUCUUAGAGCAAAUGAACGAGACUAGAUCUUUCAUACCAGCCAAAGGAGGUCCUAUUUGGAUCAAAAGUUGGGAGGAGCAUACACAGGGUGAGGGUUUUAAUGGAGCAAUGCUGUCGCUUAGAUUAGAAUCCAGAGAUGGCAGAUUUAGGGACUAUGAGAAGUGGGGCAAUGUAAGUGCAUAGGCAUGUCUGCAUGCCUGAAUGUGUCAGUAUUUGUAUUGGAAUUAUUUAUAUUCACGUUAGCUUUAGUUGUUGUAAACAACAACAACCAAAAAAAAAAAAAAAAACACACUUAGAUAGGGAAAGACUUUUUUCAGAAAGAAAAAGACUACUGCACUCUGGCCAUAGAUCAGGAAUGUCACAAGAAUUAGGCAAAAAAGGGUUUUUCUUUUAUAGAGAUAAGAGUAAAAAAAAAAAAAAAAAAGAGUAAAGGAGACUAGAAAAACCAGGUGUGGAGAAGUGAAGUGAAAGGAUGACAUGAUCAGAUAGUAAAUCAGAAAAUUUUCAUUUAUUUAUGUCCAUCUAUAUUUAUUGACGUGAAAAGAUUUUCACAGUAAAUUAAGUGAAAAGUCAUGUAUAUUGUGACGAUAUUUGUAUGGAGAUAUUCUGGAAGAAUAUAUACCAAAAUAUCGGCAGCAUUUGACUCCAGUUGGUGGAAUUUUAUUGAUUUUUACUCCUUUUGCUUAUCUAUAUUUCUUAAUGUUUAUAGAAUAAUAGCAAGUAAUCUGUGCAAUGAAAUAUACACUCUAUCAUACGCAAAAUAUGCUUACAAAUCAAUAUGAAAAAGCAAUAAUACCAGGGUGGGGGGAUGCGCAAGAGACAUGAACAGGUAAUUUAUCAAAUAAAUAGUACAACAUAACUACAACACAAUAAAAAGUGUUAAACUCUCAUAGUAAUUACAUUAAUGCAAACAAAAAUAGUACGCCAUUUUCACCCAUCAGCUCAGCAAAAAUAAUCUAGUGGAUGUAGGAAAUAGUAAUCCUCUAUCAAAGGUGGAAGAGUCCCUGGGUGGCGUAAAUGGUUAAGCGAUCAACUACUAACCAAAAUGUUGGAGGUUAGAGUCCAUCCAGAGGCAUCUCAGAAGAAAGGACUAGGCAAGCUACUUCCAAAAGGUCACGAAUUGAUAGACCCUAUGGAGCACAGUUCUACUUUUCCAUACAUGGGAUCACCAUGAGUUGGAACCAUUCGAUGACAAGUGGUUACCAAAGGUGACUCUAUCUAAUGGUACCAACAUCCUGAAAGACUUUUUCUCAAUAAGAAUUUGAAACUUCUAAAAUGUGCAUAUCCUUUGAUCCAAGAAUUCUGCUCCAGGGGUGGGGGAGGACAGACAAGAGUAUAAAGGUGUACAUUUAAGAAUAUUCAUAGUAAAAUAUUGGAAAUAAUCUCCAUGUCAUUAUGGUAAAUUUGCAUUAUAAUUGGGGAUGC